UACGUAGGGGGCAAGCGUUGUCCGGAUUUAUUGGGCGUAAAGAGCGUGUAGGCGGUUUGGUAGGUCCGCUGUGAAAACUCGAGGCUCAACCUCGAGCUGUCGGUGGAAACCGUAAGGCUAGAGUCCGGAAGAGGAGAGUGGAAUUCCUGGUGUAGCGGUGAAAUGCGCAGAUAUCAGGAAGAACACCCGUGGCGAAGGCGGCUCUCUGGGACGGUACUGACGCUG
rnacentral:rRNA from 1 species